rnacentral:rRNA from 1 species
ACGGAAGGCAGCAGUGGGGAAUAUUGCACAAUGGGCGUAAGCCUGAUGCAGCGAUGCCGCGUGAGGGAAGAAGGUUUUCGGAUUGUAAACCUCUGUCAACAGGGACGAAAUUGACGGUACCAGUGAAGGAAGCUCCGGCUAACUACGUGCCAGCAGCCGCGGUAAUACGUAGGGAGCAAGCGUUAUCCGGAAUUACUGGGUGUAAAGGGAGUGUAGGCGGGACUGUAAGUCAGAUGUGAAAUAUACCGGCUCAACUUGUAGACUGCAUUGGAAACUGCUGUUCUUGAGUGAAGUAGAGGUAAGCGGAAUUCCUAGUGUAGCGGUGAAAUGCGUAGAUAUUAGGAGGAACAUCAGUGGCGAAGGCGGCUUACUGGGCUUUAACUGACGCUGAGGCUCGAAAGCGUGGGGAGCAAACAGGAUUAGAUACCCUGGUA